AACUUUUGACAACGGAUCUCUUGGUUCUGGCAUCGAUGAAGAACGCAGCGAAAUGCGAUAAGUAAUAUGAAUUGCAGAAUUCAGUGAAUCAUCGAAUCUUUGAACGCACAUUGCGCCCGCCAGUAUUCUGGCGGGCAUGCCUGUUCGAGCGUCAUUUCAACCCUCAAGCCCCCGGGCUUGGUGUUGGAGAUCGGCGUGCCCCCCGGGGCGCGCCGGCUCCCAAAUAUAGUGGCGGUCUCGCUGUAGCUUCCUCUGCGUAGUAGCACACCUCGCACUGGAAAACAGCGUGGCCACGCCGUUAAACCCCCCACUUCUGAAAGGUUGACCUCGGAUCAGGUAGGAAUACCCGCUGAACUUAAGCAUAUCAAUAAGCGGAGGCU
rnacentral:misc_RNA from 1 species